ACUCCUACGGAAGGCAGCAGUAAGGAAUAUUGCGCAAUGGGCGAAAGCCUGACGCAGCGACGCCGCGUGGGGGAUGAAGGUCUUCGGAUUGUAAACCCCUUUCGGGAGGGAAGAUGGAGCGAGCAAUCGUUCGGACGGUACCUGAAGAAUAAGCACCGGCUAACUACGUGCCAGCAGCCGCGGUAAU
rnacentral:rRNA from 1 species